CCUACGGGAGGCAGCAGUGGGGAAUAUUGGACAAUGGGCGAAAGCCUGAUCCAGCAAUGCCGCGUGAGUGAUGAAGGCCUUCGGGUUGUAAAGCUCUUUUGCCGAUGAGGCGGUAGUCGGCGAAUAAGCCCCGGCUAACUUCGUGCCAGCAGCCGCGGUAAUACGAAGGGGGCUAGCGUUGUUCGGAAUGACUGGGCGUAAAGGGUGCGUAGGCUGCGCAGCAAGUCAGGCGUGAAAUCCCCGGGCUCAACCUGGGAACUGCGCUUGAGACUGUUGUGCUUGAGACCGGGAGAGGAUGGCGGAAUACCCAGUGUAGAGGUGAAAUUCGUAGAUAUUGGGUAGAACACCGGUGGCGAAGGCGGCCAUCUGGACCGGUCUGACGCUGAGGCACGAAAGCGUGGGGAGCAAACAGGAUUAGAUACCCUUGUAGUC
rnacentral:rRNA from 1 species